GACGGGUGUAUUUCUCGUCCAUG
rnacentral:miRNA from 10 species